UACCAGCACCCCGAGUGGUCGGGACGUUUAUUGGGCCUAAAGCAUCCGUAGCCGGUUCUACAAGUCUUCCGUUAAAUCCAGCUGCUUAACAGAUGGGCUGCGGAAGAUACUAUGGAGCUAGGAGGCGGGAGAGGCAAGCGGUACUCGAUGGGUAGGGGUAAAAUCCGUUGAUCCAUUGAAGACCACCAGUGGCGAAGGCGGCUUGCCAGAACGCGCUCGACGGUGAGGGAUGAAAGCUGGGGGAACAAACCGG
rnacentral:rRNA from 1 species